AAUGGGUAGUACAGAGGGUUGCCAAGCCGUAAGGUGGAGCUAAUCCCUUAAAGCUACUCUCAGUUCGGAUUGUAGGCUGAAACUCGCCUACAUGAAGCUGGAGUUACUAGUAAUCGCAGAUCAGAAUGCUGCGGUGAAUGCGUUCCCGGGUCUUGUACACACCGCCCGUCACACCACGGGAGUUGGAGACGCCCGAAGCCGAUUAUCUAACCUUUUGGAAGAAGUCGUCGAAGGUGGAAUCAAUAACUGGGGUGAAGUCGUAACAAGGUAGCCGUAUCGGAAGGUGCGGCUGGAUCACCUCCUUUCUAAGGAGA
rnacentral:rRNA from 1 species